rnacentral:rRNA from 1 species
GACGAACGCUGGCGGCGUGCUUAACACAUGCAAGUCGAACGGAAAGACCCUGCUUUUGUGGGGUGCUCGAGUGGCGAACGGGUGAGUAACACGUGAGUAACCUGCCCUUGACUUUGGGAUAACUUCAGGAAACUGGGGCUAAUACCGGAUAGGAGCUCCUGCUGCAUGGUGGGGGUUGGAAAGUUUCGGCGGUUGGGGAUGGACUCGCGGCUUAUCAGCUUGUUGGUGGGGUAGUGGCUUACCAAGGCUUUGACGGGUAGCCGGCCUGAGAGGGUGACCGGCCACAUUGGGACUGAGAUACGGCCCAGACUCCUACGGGAGGCAGCAGUGGGGAAUAUUGCACAAUGGACGGAAGCCUGAUGCAGCAACGCCGCGUGCGGGAUGACGGCCUUCGGGUUGUAAACCGCUUUCGCCUGUGACGAAGCGUGAGUGACGGUAAUGGGUAAAGAAGCACCGGCUAACUACGUG